rnacentral:rRNA from 1 species
CAGCGUAGGGCGCAAGCGUUGUCCGGAAUUAUUGGGCGUAAAGAGCUCGUAGGCGGUCUGUUGCGUCUGCUGGUGAAAACCCGGGGCUUAACCCCUGGCUUGCAGUGGAUACGGACAGACUAGAGGUAGGGUAGGGGAGAAUGGAAUUCCCGGUGUAGCGGUGAAAUGCGCAGAUAUCGGGAGGAACACCGAGUGGCGAAGGCGGCCCUCUGGACGGUGACGUGACGCUAAGACGCGAAAGCGUGGGGGAGCAAACAGGGAUUAAGAUACCCC